UACGGAGGGUGCAAGCGUUGUCCGGAAUCACUGGGCUAAAGGGCGCGUAGGCGGCUCAUGAAGGCUGUGGUGAAAGUCCGGGGCUCAACCUCGGAUCGGCCGUGGCGACUCGUGGGCUGGAGCACUGUAGAGGCGGGUGGAAUUCCGGGUGUAGCGGUGGAAUGCGUAGAGAUCCGGAAGAACACCAGUGGCGAAGGCGGCCCGCUGGGCAGUGGCUGACGCUGAGGCGCGACAGCGUGGGGAGCAAACAGG
rnacentral:rRNA from 1 species